CCACAGUUCGACUGCUCCAACCUCGGCGAUUCUCUACCCAAGCUCGAAUGAGGAGCGUGGAGGGGAGGUCGAUCGCCUUCGCCUUUACGAUCGAGAUGGUCAUCUUGGAAUGACCCGUGACGUCACGGACUUCGCAAACAAUUUCAAUUAAAUCUCUCCCAAUCAA
rnacentral:lncRNA from 1 species